rnacentral:rRNA from 1 species
GACCCGUCUUGAAACACGGACCAAGGAGUUUAUCGUAUGUGCGAGUCAUUGGGUGAUUAAAACCUAUUGGCGUAAUGAAAGUAAAGUAACCUUUUGGUUAUGAUAUGUGAUAAGUUAUCCUCGGAUUUCUUAGCAACAUAGUCCAAUCUAAAAUGCUUGCAUUUGGGUUGAGAUAGAGCAUAUGCGAUGAGACCCGAAAGAUGGUGAACUAUACCUGAACAGGAUGAAGUCAGAGGAAACUCUGAUGGAAGUCCGAAGCGGUUCUGACGUGCAAAUCGAUCGUCUGAUUUGGGUAUAGGGGCGAAAGACUAAUCGAACCAUC